ACGGCCUUGUAGUGUAUAGCGAACGAACGAACAAACAUCCUCGUUUAUAUACAUAGAAGAAUAUAUAGUGUAGAUUUAAUUUUCAUUUUAAAACACAUUUUUUAAACUGUUUCCAUCCUGUGUGGGUGGUAACAAAGCCUUUUUAUCAAAACCAUUACGGUUUCGGUCAAGCACAAUGGGGCAGCCGUAUGAUGAUGGAGGAGCCAGACGUAUCUGAAAUGGUCUGCCCAUGAAAUAUUUCCUAAGGUUUCUCGACUGGUCCAGAUUCGAUCCCCUAGAGAGCUGUACUGUCACCUUAACCCUCUGCCAUCCGUCCUUGAAAAAUUACGUAAAGAAAGUCAACAAUUGAUUAACAAUAUUUCUAUUUUUCGACAAUAAGUAGUAUUCGAAGCAUUAUUUAUUUUUCUUUGUUAGCAGGAAAAGAGAAGAUAGGCAUUCGCACAGUUCGGGUUUCAAAAUCGCCCGCACUAGAAUCAACACGGAAAUGAAUGAGACACCGCCAAUUCUAACGUUGGUUGAUGGCAGUAAUGUUAUGUACUCUGAAGUUUAACUAAAAGUUCUAUAGAACGUGAUUAACACACUUUCUAUUGAAGACCCAAAGGCUUUUAUAUGGUAUGGUCUGAAAGAUUAAAAUAUACACUUGUACUCUAUUUUCAGAGAACAUGACGACUGACAGAUCGUCAUUUGGGUGUUGAAAGACCUUUGGGAUAUAAAUUGAUGUUCAGUUUGAGGACGAGAGACUCUUUGAUCUACAUCAGUUAUAUAUAGGCCUACGUUUUUAUAUUAGUUUUAUUUACAUUUUUAGUGUAAUCUUUUAUUCGUCGCUUUAUU